CGUAAACGAUGUCGACUUGGAGGUUGUGCCCUUGAGGCGUGGCUUCCGGAGCUAACGCGUUAAGUCGACCGCCUGGGGAGUACGGCCGCAAGGUUAAAACUCAAAUGAAUUGACGGGGGCCCGCACAAGCGGUGGAGCAUGUGGUUUAAUUCGAUGCAACGCGAAGAACCUUACCUAGUCUUGACAUCCACAGAACCUUGUAGAGAUACGAGGGUGCCUUCGGGAACUGUGAGACAGGUGCUGCAUGGCUGUCGUCAGCUCGUGUUGUGAAAUGUUGGGUUAAGUCCCGCAACGAGCGCAACCCUUAUCCUUUGUUGCCAGCGGUCCGGCCGGGAACUCAAAGGAGACUGCCA
rnacentral:rRNA from 1 species